CUGCCUUCUAUAGAUUCAGUCUUCCGCCUUACCUCAAAAGUGUAACACCCAAAUUUUUAAAACUUAAAUAUUCAAAAUGUUCAUUGGCCCAGUUCAAAAAGAGCAUCUGCACCAGAUGAUCCUGGGUUGUGGUUGGCCUUGUGGAUCUCUAAGUGGGCCAUGUUGUUGUAGCGGAUGCUGCGGCAGCUGCUGCGGAGGCUGCUGUGGGGGAGGCUGCGGCGGCUGCUGCUGAUGAUCGGGGCUGAGUUUCAUCAAAUCAGUUUUGGACGGGGACCAAUGGGCUGCCGUUUUGCCAGUACAAUCUCAUCGGGAAACAAACCACAUUCAACAUCUUCUGGCAUGGGCAAUGUUAUGUACAUAGUAUAAUAAAUAAAGUGUGAGGCUUUUCGUAUAA